GUACACGCUGUGACUAGCAUAUCAAUAAGCGGAGGAAAAGAAACUAACAAGGAUUCCCUCAGUAACGGCGAGUGAAGCGGGAAGAGCUCAAAUUUGAAAUCUUGAAAGGUCUACCUUGCACGAAUUGUAGUUUAAAGAAGUGUUUUCUGCUUACGAUUUGGUAAUAAGUUCUUUGGAAUAGGACAUCAUAGAGGGUGAGAAUCCCGUAUGAUUGACCAUUAUUUGUCAGCUUUGUGAUACACUUUCAAAGAGUCGGAUUGUUUGGGAAUGCAGUCCCAAAAUGGGAUGGUAAAGUUUCAUCUAAGGCUAAAUAUUGGCGAGAGACCGAUAGCGAACAAGUACCGUGAGGGAAAGAUGAAAAGAACUUUGAAAAGAGAGUUAAAUAGUACGUGAAAUUGUCAAAAGGGAAGCGUUUAACACCAGUGUUGUUUUCUGAAAAUCAACCUCUGUUAGCUUUAUGCAUGUUUGUUUAGACCUAAUCAGCUAUCUUGCAUGUUCUAUUGUUUGCAGUGGUGCACUUUUCAGUUUACAGGUCAACAUCAGUUUUUUUUACCGUAAAAAAGUUAAAGAAAGGUAGCUCAUGGCUCCGGUCGUGAGUGUUAUAGUCUUUUUCCUAUGCGGUAGGAGAGACUGAGGUCUGCAGUGUAGGCUAUUUGGCUAGAUACUCAGGUGCUAUGUGAUACCAUUUCAUAAACAACUUGUUGAUUAUGUUUUGUCUAUUGCAUACUCGCUUGUACUAUCAUACCUACGCUUAGGAUGUUGAGUAGCGACAUACGCAC
rnacentral:rRNA from 1 species